UACGGGGGGGGUAAGCGUUGUUCGGAAUUACUGGGCGUAAAGGGCUCGUAGGCGGCCAACUAAGUCAGACGUGAAAUCCCUCAGCUUAACUGGGGAACUGCGUCUGAUACUGGAUGGCUUGAGUCUGGUAGGGGAACACGGAAUUCCUGGUGUAGCGGUGAAAUGCGCAGAUAUCAGGAGGAACACCGAUGGCGAAGGCAGUGUUCUGGGCCAGUACUGACGCUGAGGAGCGAAAGCGUGGGGAGCAAACAGG
rnacentral:rRNA from 1 species